rnacentral:rRNA from 1 species
GACGAACCGUGCGAACGUUAUUCGGAAUCACUGGGCUUAAAGCGCGUGUAGGCGGAUGGGAACGUCGGUAGUUGAAAGCCCCCGGCUCAACCGGGGAAGUGGUGCCGAAACGACCCGUCUGGAGGGACGUAGGGGGACCUGGAACUUCCGGUGGAGCGGUGAAAUGCGUUGAGAUCGGAAGGAACGCCCGUGGCGAAAGCGUUCUGCUAGACCUGUACUGACACUGAGGGACGAAAGCGUAGGGGAGCGAAUGGG